rnacentral:rRNA from 2 species
CCGGGUUGCGGACAGUGUCUGGUGGGUAGUUUGACUGGGGCGGUCUCCUCCCAAAGAGUAACGGAGGAGCACGAAGGUUAGCUAAUCCUGGUCGGACAUCAGGAGGUUAGUGCAAUGGCAUAAGCUAGCUUGACUGCGAGAGUGACGGCUCGAGCAGGUGCGAAAGCAGGUCAUAGUGAUCCGGUGGUUCUGAAUGGAAGGGCCAUCGCUCAACGGAUAAAAGGUACUCCGGGGAUAACAGGCUGAUACCGCCCAAGAGUUCAUAUCGACGGCGGUGUUUGGCACCUCGAUGUCGGCUCAUCACAUCCUGGGGCUGAAGUAGGUCCCAAGGGUAUGGCUGUUCGCCAUUUAAAGUGGUACGCGAGCUGGGUUUAGAACGUCGUGAGACAGUUCGGUCCCUAUCUGCCGUGGGCGCUGGAGAAUUGAGGGGGGCUGCUCCUAGUACGAGAGGACCGGAGUGGACGCAUCACUGGUGUUCGGGUUGUCAUGCCAAUGGCACUGCCCGGUAGCUAAAUGCGGAAGAGAUAAGUGCUGAAAGCAUCUAAGCACGAAACUUGCCCCGAGAUGAGUUCUCCCUGAGACUU